CAGAUGAGAAGAAUGCUUAUGGGGAAGAAAGACCCACUGAAAGAUAUUACCUCAAAGAACUGUUAAUUCUCUCACCUGUAAAUAAUUGCCUUCACACACACAUCAGGUACUUCUUGUGCAGGUUCCUGUCUCAUGCUGUCAUUCCAGUGAUAGGGCUCUGUCAAUAAACGGUGUGCCCCCUCCUUCCCUGUUAAUCUCUGGCAUUACGCAGUGAGAGGAAUUCUUCUAUAAGAUAACCCCAAUUCACCUAACUUGCUGCAGAGGACGCCAUUAUUUUCCUAGAAGAAUACAGCAAGAUUCUUCUUCCUCCUGUGCUGACUAGCACUGAUGGAGAAACUGGGCCAGAAAAAAAAAGAAAAGGAUUUUUUUCAUAACUCGAGGGAGGUACUGAGCAGAUGUGUGGAGAAGAAGGAUCAGCAAUUUUUUGAAAUAGGAUUCAUAAAAUACUGGUACUGUGUGUUGUGUCCUUCGAGAACUCUUCAACAAUCUCCUCAUGAUGCAGAGUAGCACUGAUGUAGAAGGAAAGAUGACAAAUCCUCUGACCUCAGUAUAAAUGUUCUAAAGCUGAAGUAGAUGAAGGCUUGAAAAUCAUGAUAAAAAGGAAUGUUCACGGGGAAAGAACAGGAAGCAAUGGAAAGUUCCACUUAUCUGAGAAGGUGAAAUUCAGUAGACGAUAUGAUCUGAACAUUUUAAAGACUAGAAAAUGAUUUGGGAAGGAGGGUGAGCAAUGUAUUUCAGUAGCUGCCAAAGCUGUGAUGUAGAAAGAUCAGUAUAUAAACUAAAUUGAAACCAUGCCACGGCAAUGCCUUGUCAAAACUUCUCUAUUGAGCAAGAAAGUAGCAGUUAAAUGAGGCAAAAUGAAGCAGACUGGAGACUUUAGACAGUUUCUCUGAGUCAGCUGGUAGCAGAGAGUUAUCAGCAUGGAGUUUUGCACGAUGUCCAGUCAGCCAUUUAUAUCAACCACCCUUUGUAAAGACUAUUGUUACUUCCAGAUCAUCUGGUCAGAUUGAAAAGAGUGGUGCACUAUCAGCCAAUGAGCAAAGAAAAUAUCAAUAGACAAGCAAUGGAUGAAGACAAUUGAAUGGUGUAAUGAAGUGAUAUAUACAAACUGGCUUUCUUACCAGUGAUGUUUCAAAUGAUGCCAGAAUCUCAGGUAGAGUGAUCAAAGCUCAUCAAACAUGAGAAACAAAUUAAACAAAUGUGUGUUUCAAAGGGUGGCUCUUAUGUACUAUGUUCAAGUGGGUAAAAAAAUGUUGCCAAAUUUUCUAUGGGUGAAUCAGCCAGCCAAAAUGAUUUUGCCAUUGCCAAAAAUGCUGCCAAGUAAAAUUACAUUGUUUUGCCCAUGUUAAAAAUUUCUGGCAACCUUUUCUUUAAAGAGUCCUAGCAUCCCUUCUUCUCACUGUUUUGGAGCAGAGACUUUACAUUUGCAGGGCGUGGUCUUUGUGUCAGGGAGGUGCCUUUUACUGGCCCUAUGAAAAUUUGUCGAUUUUGUCUGAGUUAGAACCUUUGAAUAAUACACAGAAAUAAGACUGGAACCAAAUUCCAGAAUCUGAACAAAGACAAACUUUAAUGAUAUGGGGUGUUCCAUAAUUAUAUUUCAGAUAUGUAUUUCCUAGUUGGGCUUUGUCUUUUCAAUGAGAUGAACCAACAUUCUGGAUCCAAAUACCUCCAAAUUUGCAAUGUUAAAAUGUUGAAUGCAGUGUUGA